CAUGAGAAAGGUGGUAAACCUGUUAAUGAAGUUGUUGGUGCCAUAUUGGAAGGUUUAAAAGAGUGUAAUGAGUCACAGGAGAACCCACCAUCUGCAAAUUCCAUAAGGGAUGAUGCACUUACAAGAGUUUUAGGACCUGAAACUCGUGGACGAGUUCGUGGGCUUAGGUUUGGUGCUACACCAUCUCGAGUCAAUGCUACUAUUCAAGGGAGUGCAAAGGUUAAAGAACUUGAAGCUACUGUAUUAAGUCAAUCACAGAGGCUUGCUCAGGUUGAAGCAAAGCUUGAAGCUCUUUUAAAGGCCACUCAGG
rnacentral:lncRNA from 1 species